rnacentral:rRNA from 1 species
UGGGGAAUUUUGGACAAUGGGCGAAAGCCUGAUCCAGCAAUGCCGCGUGUGUGAAGAAGGCCUUCGGGUUGUAAAGCACUUUUGUCCGGAAAGAAAUCCUUGGCUCUAAUACAGUCGGGGGAUGACGGUACCGGAAGAAUAAGCACCGGCUAACUACGUGCCGGCAGCCGCGGUAAUACGUAGGGUGCAAGCGUUAAUCGGAAUUACUGGGCGUAAAGCGUGCGCAGGCGGUUUGCUAAGACCGAUGUGAAAUCCCCGGGCUCAACCUGGGAACUGCAUUGGUGACUGGCAGGCUAGAGUAUGGCAGAGGGGGGUAGAAUUCCACGUGUAGCAGUGAAAUGCGUAGAGAUGUGGAGGAAUACCGAUGGCGAAGGCAGCCCCCUGGGCCAAUACUGACGCUCAUGCACGAAAGCGUGGGGAGCAAACAGGAUUAGAUACCCUGGUAGUCCACGCCCUAAAACGAUGUCAACUAGUUGUUGGGGAUUCAUUUCCUUAGUAACGUAGCUAACGCGUGAAGUUGACCGCCUGGGGAGUACGGUCGCAAGAUUAAAACUCAAAGGAAUUGACGGGGUCAUAGCUGUUUCCU